GAUUCCCUCAGUAGCGGCGAGCGAAGCGGGAAGAGCCCGGGAUGAAAAUCUCUUCGGAGAGUUGUAGUCUGAGCGCCCUUGGGCGGUCAGUGUGGGUAAGUCGUCUGGGAUGACGCGCCAUGGAGGGUGAGAGCCCCGUCCAGCCCACACAGGACCCGCCCGCACGAGGGCGCUUCAACCGAGUCGGGUAGCUUGGGAAUGCUGCUCUAAUUGGUGGUAAAUCUCAUCAAAGGCUAAAUACGGGUGGGAGACCGAUAGCGAACAAGUACCGUGAGGGAAAGAUGGAAAGAACUUUGAAAAGAGAGUGAAAAGCGCUUGAAACCGUCACGGGGGAAGCGGAUUGCGUGAGUGGUGGCGCGCACUGUUCAGCCCGCCCAUGGGUGGGUGCAUUCUGUGCGUGCCGGGCGUGUGUGGCUGGCGGCGGCGCGAGGUUGGCGCCGCGCGCUGGUGAGGGCUCCCCCGCAUGGGGUUGAGGACACACGCGAAAUGACGCGAUACGACCCGUCUUGAAACACGGACCAAGGAGUCUAGCACGGCUGCGAGUCGAAGGGUGUGAAAACCCAAGAGGGCGCAGUGAAAGCGAAAGAAAGCAAAUUGGGGAGGCGUUGCGGUGUUUACCAAAAUGUCCUACCUCGAGCACCUGUGCUGGGACCCGAAAGAUGGUGAACUAUGCCGGAGUAGGGCAAAGCCAGAGGAAACUCUGGUGGAGGCUCGUAGCGAUGCUGACGUGCAAAUCGCUCGUCGAACUUGGGUAUAGGGGCGAAAGACUAAUCGAACCAUCUAGUAGCUGGUUCCCUCCGAAGUUUCUCUCAGGAUAGCGGGCCGACGACGUGUUGUUUUGUGCGGUAAAGCGAAUGAUUAGUGCAUUUGGGGGCCGAAGGCCCUCGGGCGAUUCUCAAACUUUAAAUGCGCAAGGGGGCGGCUGCUUGAUGUGAGCCUGCUCUUCUAAAAACGUCGGCUCCGUGGGCCACUUUUGGUAAGCAGAACUGGCGAUAAGGGAUGAACCUUAAGCGCGGUUAAGGCGCCGCAUUGCCCGCUUAUAGACCCCACAAAAGGUGUUGAUUCAUCCAGACAGCAGGACGGUGGCCAUGGAAGUCGGA
rnacentral:rRNA from 2 species